AGCAAAAAGCAAAAAGGAAAAAAUCUAAUCCUAAAAAUAGAAAGAACAAUCCAGAGGCAUUUAGGAAGGUAAACUGAUAAUGCUCCGCAAAAAGUGUGUCACCUCGGUAGAAUCUCUAUCAAAGAUAGACUGAGCUGCCUGAGCUGGAACAAUUGACUACCUCUAGAUAAGUGAUCCUCCUCUCCCCUUAAUCCAUAAAUAUUUCUUGUUUUUACAACAUUUCUUUCUCAUUUUAUAUAUCAAGAUUUUGGCAGAAACAUUCAUGCACCCUCAAAUUCUCACAGGCGCAGUGAUUUUGUCUCAAAAUAAAGUCUUCUUCAAGCUUAGUAUUUGUUGGAGCUAAAUAUUGUUUCCUUCACAGGGAAAUCAUGAGUUACAAUGGCAUGUAACUUCCUAUUUGGAUUACUAACAACUUUAACACUGGUCAAUAUCUUCGGUUGAAAGAAAUUCGUUGCUGCUGUUGUGGAGACCUUGUUAUCUCGCUAUCCUAUUGCUUAGCUACUGGCCUCAACUCAGGGUAUAGAGAUCUACAAUUCUCCAUGUUGUGUCCUUAUAGCUUACACUCAAAAUAAUACUUAGGCAGAUGAUCACAUUAUAUUUUAACUUGUGUAUUUCUAGUCAUUCCUGUAGAUUCAUUAUAUAUCUCCAUGUUGGCAAACUUGGGUAGAUUAGCUUUGAGGUCCACCAGAACUUUGACCUAGUUUUCUAUUUACAUUAUUUUUAGGCCAAUACAUUGCCUCCCCCCUAAAGUUAGCAAAAACUUUUAUUCUGGCACCUCAACUAGGCGUCGUUCAUUUUAAACUCCUAAACUAGUGUCCCCUUAUGCCAUUUUGACACUUUUUGCUGACUGAACAUAUUAUGUGUAUUGCACUGACUUUCAGUGCGUGAGAGACUUAGAUUUUACAAAUUUUAUGUUUUUUUUAA